rnacentral:rRNA from 1 species
GAUGAACGCUGGCGGCGUGCCUAAUACAUGCAAGUCGAGCGAACAGACGAGGAGCUUGCUCCUCUUACGUUAGCGGCGGACGGGUGAGUAACACGUGGAUAACCUACCUAUAAGACUGGGAUAACUUCGGGAAACCGGAGCUAAUACCGGAUAAUAUAUUGAACCGCAUGGUUCAAUAGUGAAAGACGGUUUUGCUGUCACUUAUAGAUGGAUCCGCGCCGCAUUAGCUAGUUGGUAAGGUGACGGCUUACCAAGGCAACGAUGCGUAGCCGACCUGAGAGGGUGAUCGGCCACACUGGAACUGAGACACGGUCCAGACUCCUACGGGAGGCAGCAGUAGGGAAUCUUCCGCAAUGGGCGAAAGCCUGACGGAGCAACGCCGCGUGAGUGAUGAAGGUCUUCGGAUCGUAAAACUCUGUUAUUAGGGAAGAACAAAUGUGUAAGUAACUAUGCACGUCUUGACGGUACCUAAUCAGAAAGCCACGGCUAACUACGUG